rnacentral:rRNA from 1 species
UCAGAAACGAAGCUAACGCGUUAAGUUCUCCGCCUGGGAAGUACGGUCGCAAGACUAAAACUCAAAGGAAUUGACGGGGGCCCGCACAAGCGGUGGAUUAUGUGGUUUAAUUCGAAGCAACGCGCAGAACCUUACCUAGGCUUGAAAUCCUGCGAAUUCGACGUAAUGGUUGAAGUGCCCUUCGGGGAGCGCAGAGACAGGUGCUGCAUGGCUGUCGUCAGCUCGUGUUGUGAAAUGUUGGGUUAAGUCUCGCAACGAGCGCAACCCCUAUCUUUAGUUGCCAGCAUUAAGUUGGGCACUCUAGAGAGACUGCCUGGGUUAACCAGGAGGAAGGUGGGGAUGACGUCAAGUCCUCAUGGCCCUUAUGUCUAGGGCUACACACGUAAUACAAUGGUGCGAACAAAGGGAAGCGAACUCGCGAGGGGGAGCAAAUCUCAAAAAACGCAUCUCAGUCCGGAUUGAAGUCUGAAACUCGACUUCAUGAAGUUGGGAUCGCUAGUAAUCGCGGAUCAGAACGCCGCGGUGAAUACGUUCCCGGGCCUUGUACACACCGCCCGUCACACCAUGGAAGUUGGUUCAAUCUUAAGACGUGACUCUAACCGCAAGGGGGAGAGCGUCUACGGUGGGACCGAUGACUGGGGUGAAGUCGUAACAAGGUAACCAAU